GAAUUUCAAGGCCCUCUCCUCUCUCUCUCUACAACUUUCUCUCUCUAAAAACUCACUCACUGGACUUCGUUCGUUGUCCGAAUUUCAAGGCCAUUAGUAGAGCAGAAGCAGUUAUUUGACCGAGUCUCUCUCUCAAUGGAAGUCGAAACUACCGGCGUGUCAAAUUUUGAUCUCAACAACUCUUCAUCUCAGGUUAGUUCUCUU
rnacentral:misc_RNA from 1 species